rnacentral:rRNA from 1 species
CCUACGGGUGGCAGCAGUGAGGAAUAGGGGUCAAUGGGCGCGAGACGGAACCAGCCAAGUAGCGUGAAGGAUGAAGGCCCAACGGGGGGUAAACUUCUUUUAUAAAGGAAUAAAGUGAGGCACGUGUGCCCUUUUGGAUGUACCUUAUGAAUAAGGAUAGGCUAACUCCGUGCCAGCAGCCGCGGUAAUACGGAGGACCCGAGCGUUAUCCGGAUUUAUUGGGUUUAAAGGGUGCGUAGUUUGGUUGUUAAGUCAGGUGUUAAAGUAUGGGGCUCAACCGUAAAAUUGCAAUUGAUACUGGCAGCCUUGAGUACGGUUGAGGUAGGCGGAAUUCGUGGUGUAGCGGUGAAAUGCUUAGAUAUCACGAAGAACUCCGAUUGCGAAGGCAGCCUACUAGACUGCCACUGACGUUGAUGCUCGAAAGUGUGGGUAUCAAACAGGAUUAGAUACCCCUGUAGUC